CAGCAGCCGCGGUAAUACCUGCAGCUCAAGUGGUGACCGCUAUUAUUGGGCCUAAAACGUUCGUAGCCGGCUGAGUAAAUGCCUGGGUAAAUCGUGCCGCUUAACGGUACGAAUUCCGGGUAGACUGCUUAGCUUGAGACCGGGAGAAGCUAGAGGUACUCCUGGGGUAGGGGUGAAAUCCUGUAAUCCUGGGGGGACCACCAGUGGCGAAGGCGUCUAGCUAGAACGGGUCUGACGGUGAGGAACGAAACCCUGGGGCGCAAACCGGAUUAGAUACCCGGGUAGUCCAGGGCGCAAACGCUGCUUGCUUGAUGUUAGCUGGGCUCCGAGCUCAGCUAGUGUCGGAGUGAAGAUGUUAAGCAAGCUGCCUGGGAAGUACGAUCGCAAGAUUGAAACUUAAAGGAAUUGGCGGGGGAGCACAGCAACGGGUGGAGCGUGCGGUUUAAUUGGAUUCAACGCCGGAAAACUCACCGGAGGCGACGGUUACGUGAAGGCCAGGCUGAUGACCUUGCCAGAUUUUCCGAGAGGUGGUGCAUGGCCGCCGUCAGUUCGUACCGUAAGGCGUUCUGUUAAGUCAGAUAACGAACGAGACCCUCAUCCUUAAUUGCUAUUGGUAACUCCGGUUAUUAAGCACAUUAAGGAGACCGCUGGCGAUAAGUCAGAGGAAGGCGAGGGCAACGGUAGGUCAGUAUGCCCUGAAUCCUCCGGGCUACACGCGCGCUACAAAGGCCAGGACAAUGGGUUUCAACACCGAAAGGUGAAGGUAAUCUCGAAACCUGGUCAUAGUUCGGAUUGAGGGUUGAAACUCACCCUCAUGAAGCUGGAAUCCGUAGUAAUCGCGGAUCAACAUCCCGCGGUGAAUAUGUCCCUGCCCCUUGCACAC
rnacentral:rRNA from 1 species